CUACCCCAAAAACUGACCGGAAGUGGCCGAAAUCGAGAUCCCAAAACUGUCCAAAUUUCCAAUUCGAAAAUCAAUUAUCUACUCUGAGACUCGAUUGAAUCCUACCCAACAGGCAGCUAGAACAGCUCGAGAGGUUCAAAAUCCAUACUUGGAUCGUCCGAUUUGGUGGCCGAACGACGGAGAUCGACGGCCGUGAAGUUUCUGUCAAAACCGCUUGGAUUUCUGCAAUUUUCGGCCAGCAUUGGCGGUUCCAGCGACUGAGGUUGGUCUAAAAAGGAAGAGGAGGUGACAGCGGUUCGAAUGGGUCCAAUUCUGGCGUAAGUGGUGGUCGGUGGUGGCGACGGCGCCACAAAAAUCCGAUCGAGGGGGGAGGGUGUUCUCGACGGGAGAGAGAGAGAGAGAGAGAGAGAGAGAGAGAGAGAGAGAGAGAGAGAGAGAGAGAGAGAGAGAGAGAGAAACUGAGGGAGAAGAGAGAGAAGUGAGGUUUUUGUAAAAAUCUGAUUUUUUUUUUCAAAUUACCGUUUUGUCCCUCAGAGUAUUUUUAACCUUUUUUUUUUGUUAAAGCUCCGAUUCGAGUCCACUUUGUGUCUACGAACUCAUUUCGUCGUGCUCUACGCAACGGUGUGUGUGGAAUUGUCAAAUUCCUUCUCGGUUAAAAAGUCAACCUUUCGUUAAUAAAUUAUUCCAAGGGUAAAAUUGUCUUUUCCUCUUAAUAAAUUAAUAAUUAACUAUUAAUUUAGAUUUGGGUUAUUACAAUUGGGUUACAAUCAAUGAUCGGCUAUCGAAUUGAAAGUUAUAUAUCCAUGACAUUGAAACAUAAUGUGCCAACAAGAUGAUAUUGUGAAAGCUAAAAUUCUGAUAGCGUAGGCAGAAGUCAGUUGCCAAAUUGUCCUGCAAAAAAAAACAUUCCUUUACUCUCAUGCUCCUGCUUCGGUCCCUAAAAAUCAACUUGCACACCUACCAACUAAGAAAAAGAAUAAGGAUAUAUAUAAUAUAUAAAUUGAAAUGUGACAAUUGUACGCGUCGUUUAUUAAAGCAUAUGCUCUUUAUUAAACGUGGGUUAGGUUAGCUCUUCUUCUUCUUUUUUUCUUUCCCUCGCGUGCAACAAUUAAUUCUUUCUUUUUUGAACAAAAUCACAACAUAAUCUUUAGAAGAUGCAAGCAGUUCCUGGAAAUUAAUAUUGUGAUCAGAAUCAAAGAGCAUAAGUGAGGGCUUCUAGUUUUAAGGGAAAAAUAUAAAAAGAAAAAAUAAAUAAAUAGAAAGUCCCAUAUAAUAAUUGGCUUCACUCACUCCUUAUAAUAUCGAGGCAUUUUGUAUAAAACCUCAUACUUGCUAAACAGGUGGUUAAGUUGGAGACAAUAUUGAUGUUGCUAGUAGUGGGCCAAGAAUCCGUCCCUCCGAUUAACAAAAAAGAAAAAAAAAGGGAAAAACAUAUCCUUCAACAAAUUAGAAUUAAGGCUUAUGCUCUCUUCUAAUUAGCUUGUAAAAGGUAUCCAUAUAUAAUGAGGAUAUAUAAGGAACCAAUCUGAGUAUAUAUUCCAAAAUUGACAACUGUUUCGACAUAUUGGC
rnacentral:lncRNA from 1 species